UUUCCGUAGGUGAACCUGCGGAAGGAUCAUUAGAGAGUUCUCGCCCUCACGGGUAGAUCUCCCACCCACUGUUAUCGUUACUGUCGUUUCUUUGGCGGGCCGCCGGGUCCCCGGCCGCCGGCGCCUAGCUGCCGGCGCGCGCCCGCCAGAGGCCUUCAAACUCUGAAUGUUAGUGUCGUCUGAGUACUAUAUAAUAGUUAAAACUUUCAACAACGGAUCUCUUGGUUCUG
rnacentral:misc_RNA from 1 species